CCUACGGGAGGCAGCAGUGAGGAAUAUUGGUCAAUGGACGAGAGUCUGAACCAGCCAAGUAGCGUGAAGGAUGACUGCCCUAUGGGUUGUAAACUUCUUUUAUAUGGGAAUAAAAUGGUCCACGUGUGGGAUACUGUAUGUACCAUAUGAAUAAGGAUCGGCUAACUCCGUGCCAGCAGCCGCGGUAAUACGGAGGAUCCGAGCGUUAUCCGGAUUUAUUGGGUUUAAAGGGAGCGUAGGUGGAUUGUUAAGUCAGUUGUGAAAGUUCGCGGCUCAACCGUAAAAUUGCAGUUGAAACUGGCAGUCUUGAGUGCAGUAGAGGUGGGCGGAAUUCGUGGUGUAGCGGUGAAAUGCUUAGAUAUCACGAAGAACUCCGAUUGCGAAGGCAGCUCACUGGACUGCAACUGACGCUGAGGCUCGAAAGUGUGGGUAUCAAACAGGAUUAGAUACCCCAGUAGUC
rnacentral:rRNA from 1 species